GGCCUUUGGGCUAAUAUGAAAUCAUGUCCCUAGAGACCCAAAUCUACAUAGGCCAUGGCCCAUAUUUGGACAAAUGCUAUUUUUUGUCAGGGUGCUACUUGAUCCACUUGUUUUGAAUAUCGUGCUUAAUCCUUUGUUUUCUUUUAUCAGAAUAUUGUGCUGACUCCUAAUCUUAGCAUUCAUCUUCAACUGUAUGCAAUGCCCAUCUCAAUGGCUGAUUUCGCUUCAAAUGACUCUUGGUUAUGCAAAUAUCUUAUGCAUUAUACUUUUGUCUUGUCCUUUCCAGUGCCCAGCCCUUCAUUAGCAGUUAAAAGUUUCAAAGAAUCUCAAUCCAAUAAAUUCUACUAAA
rnacentral:misc_RNA from 1 species